AAGCAAGCAUAUCUUGCUGGAGCUCCCUGCGUACCUGAGGCCCUCUGAAGGUGGGAAAAACUGCCAAUUCACAAGGAGAAAUGUUGUCCCAGUGAUGUGCUGCAGUGCUGAGGAUGAAGCAGCUCAGGACCCACCUCUGGUUGACACCCCAUCCCAUGCACUUCACGGGGACAUUGCUGCACGCUGACAUCCUUAAUUUAUACCUGUCCACGUGACACUUCAUACGAAGCGUUUUCCAGCAUGGUCUAAUUACAAGGCACAAACUGGGAUGGUUUGAGGAAGAGGAUGAGCAAGUUCCUUCAGCCUCAUCAUGGCAGCACGAGCGUGUUGACAAGCUACGUGUGUUUCACCUGCUAUUAACUUGCUGCUCAAUGACAAGCGACUGUUUCUUCCAGAGCAAACGAAUGUUGUCCAGGUUGAAAUUAGCCUGGUUGUGGCCCCUGUCCAAAGCAAUGUUUGUGUUUAUACGUCUCUGAGUUUAGGGCAGCUGUUGCAAUGUGGCACUGUGGAUUGGGUCUGCAAAGGGAGGCUGCAUGAGGGAAGAGCAGGUGUGAAAUACCCAUUUUUGCUUUAUAAAAAUUUCCCUGUGGUCUCUACUUUGUCUGUAAGACCCACCUAGCACCUCCCAGUGAGGUCUACUGGGAAUCCCCUCAUGGCAGGGGGAGAGAGUUGGUUUGAGUGGGGGGGAAAAGUCCCUGAUCAUCACAGGGGAGUUGGACUAAAUGACCCUUAAGGGCCCCUUCCAGCUCAAAUGAUUCUAUGGUUCUGUGAAAUGAGAGGUGCCCAUGGCUCUGUGCCCUUAGGGUGCAGCAGAAAAGAGAAGUGAAGCCACAGCGAUGCAUCCCAGACUCCAUCCCCGCGCUUUUGCUACUGGAGGAGGAUAUGCAGACGCUGCUGCCCUGCAGCGUGGUCUGGAGGUUCUGCAGCUCCGUGUGUUUCUCGCCGUGUUUCCAUCCUGUCGAGCACUCAGAGCCUGCCCUGCACGCAUUUCGGAAGCGAAGGACUUUCCUAAUUACAGUGCGAACAAUCCGAGGUGGGCUCCUGUCUGUCUAACUGUCAGGGAGAAUAAGUCAGCGGCAUGCACUUUUGGUGUGUUUUGCAUCAGAUCCACCCAAAUUCAAACGAGCAGGGGAAGUUACUCUUCUGGACACCAACUUUUCACAGUGACUGUUUGCCACAGGCACAGUGAGGGUUUUCCUCUCCCGUUUCCAUGUUCCCUGGGGAUGCUGAGGAUGGGGAUGUGAUGUUCCCCAUUGCGAGGGGACAGCGGUGGCCUUGGACCUGCAGCCACCAGCCCAGCACCCAGCAGGGGAUGUGGUGUAGGGGAUCGCCGUCCUCCUUUAUCGUGGCACCUCUGGAGAGAAUGGCUUUGAAAGCGCUGCUUUGUUCAGCAGCUCCUCUGGACUGACUGGUCCUCAGUCAGCGUUGGAUGUCUGAGUAGAGACAUCAGAGCCUUCCUGAAGCUGUUAUAACUUAAUCUGGCAGGCCAGCCUGCUCUGGCACCUCUUGCCAAGAGAGGAAGCCAGAGCACUAGAUGAUUUUCAGACAUUAGUGACUGCCAUAAAUCAGAAAGCAGAAGUUAUCGAGUGCUCUGCUAAUGGACAUUUCCUUCCAGAGUAUCCCCUCUCGGGCUUUGCAGGGGCACAGAGGCUGCUCUCAGUGGGGGAAGCCAAGGGAGCUGUGCCAAGGUUGGGAAAUGUGCUGAGGAAAGAAGCUGCAAGGUGAGCACCAGGCCUCAAAUCUGCUGCUGCUGCUGCUUCUCUCUGUGGGGGCCCAGACCCCCCCACCAGCCCCAUAUGGAUAGCCAUGCUUUGAGAGCUGUGCAAAUCCCAAGCCAUCAAAGAGAAGGCAUCAUUGGAGGCCAACUUGCUAAUGACUUAAAAUGCAGAAGGGAGAUUUUAGCCAAGCUGAGCGCUGGGCAGGUUUAAACUGCGUGGAAGUAGUGGAUGUUUUGGUGCUGAGAUGGCACUGCUCCGUGCUGUGCUUCCUGGCUCCUUGGGAAGGGGCAGAGCCCCGAGCCCUUUGCCUUCAAUGCCGAUUCCCAAUCAAGGCGAUGCACUCCUCGAGGAGCAGCAGACUGUUUAAUAUUUAAACCCGAACAGCCCAGGCAAAGCUGCUUUUCUUUUUUAUUUAUUCUUUUAAUUAAAUGCCAAUUAGAAAGGAAGAGAGGGGGGGGAGAAAAAAAGGCAUUAAACACUUAAAUACACACUACACCCAGGUUGCUCAAAGUUGUUAUGAGCUAAUUAGCUACUUAAGUGAUCAUUUGAAAUUCUAUAUCAAACAAUUCAUAAUCUGCCCCAAAACCGAAGGCUCAAUGAGCAUCGAGGGGCAGUGCCUGCCCUAUGGCUGCUACCUGUGGGAUUGGAGUUCCCACCUGCACGUUCAUGGGAUCUUUGUGCAGAUGGGGCUGGGCAAGAAGCAGAGUUUUCUGCCCAGAGCUGCAACCUGAACAAGGUCACUGUGAGGAGUUCUGUUGGUGCUUUUUCUCUUGUCUCCAUGUUUGGAGGUUGCAAGUUCCUUGCUGCAUGGCCCUUCUGAUUCUCCUGGCUUCAAAGUACUAUUAUCUGCAGCCUCUAUGAUCUGAAGGUGUUCAAGGACCUUGUAGAUGGGACACUGAGGGACAUGGGAUGGUGGGGGUGGGUGGAUGACUUGCUGUUCUUAGAAGUCUUUUCCAGCCUUAAUGAUUCUACAACAAGCUGGUGCUAUCCAACUCAUGUCAUUUCAACACUAAAUGAGUUCCGGGGGAAGCAUGAUGGUGAAAUUCCCCACUCACCAAGAAAGGGUUUCAGCCCUUCUGCGCACAUUAUCAGGGCUGGAAAAUCUUCCUCCACAUUUCCUUCUGUGGAAAGUGCUGCCCCAUUGAUUAAACCCUGUGCAUGUGUCUAUCUACAUCCAACUGAACCCUGCACAUCUGCCCCCAGCACCACUCUGUGAGCUCAGGGUUAUGAGGGCAGACUGGGGAGCCCCAUCCAUAACCCAUAACACCGCCGCGCCUAACGAACAAUGCAUUAAUUAGAGGCAGCAAUUCAACCUCCACCGUAAUCAAUUCCAGCAGCGCCUGCUCUGCCUGCACAUCCGACAGCCUCUUCCACUCCCCUCUGCAAGAUUUAUUAAUUAUCAAUGCUGGCUCCGGCGUGGCAUGCAGAGGAGAGCAGGAGCGAGGAGGUGGUAUCGGCGGCGGAGAUCUGAGAGACGUCUGAAGGGGAUUGGCAUGUGCAGGAGACAGCCUGCCUCCUGGGGACUCGCCCGGUGAUCUUUUUUCCUCCCUUCCUCCUGCUUUUCUUUUAAUUAGUGGAGUUGGUGCGAUGCUCUGCUUGGACAGCAGAGAGGAGGGUGCGCGGCAGCAGGCAGGGGCUGGUGGGUGUGUGCAGCAUCCCCUGCUCCCUGUAUCCCAUCCCCUCACCCAGGGCAAUGCUUCAUGCCUGGGGCAGGCCCAAACCCGCUGCCCCAGAAGCUGGCUCUUUGCAGACCCUCCCCAUCCACCCGUAAACUGCAGCCCUGCCAACUAGUAAGCUCUGGUCUUUCCAUCUAUGGGUGAAGUGUAGUGAUUUCCAAGCCUGCCAGCAGAUGCCAAUGGAUGACCUUGUGAUUUUAUUGAUCUCUUCUUUCCCACUGGUGCUGGGGAAGCCAUGUUUCCAAGCCUGCCAGUGGCAGCUGGAGGAGGUGGGUUGGUGUGGGAUUGGAGGGCUGGGGGCAGCUCUGCCCUUCAGGCUCGUAGCCCAUACUGUAC